rnacentral:rRNA from 1 species
AGAGUUUGAUCCUGGCUCAGGACGAACGCUGGCGGCGUGCCUAAUACAUGCAAGUCGAGCGGACCGACGGGAGCUUGCUCCCUUAGGUCAGCGGCGGACGGGUGAGUAACACGUGGGUAACCUGCCUGUAAGACUGGGAUAACUCCGGGAAACCGGGGCUAAUACCGGAUGCUUGAUUGAACCGCAUGGUUCAAUCAUAAAAGGUGGCUUUUAGCUACCACUUACAGAUGGACCCGCGGCGCAUUAGCUAGUUGGUGAGGUAACGGCUCACCAAGGCGACGAUGCGUAGCCGACCUGAGAGGGUGAUCGGCCACACUGGGACUGAGACACGGCCCAGACUCCUACGGGAGGCAGCAGUAGGGAAUCUUCCGCAAUGGACGAAAGUCUGACGGAGCAACGCCGCGUGAGUGAUGAAGGUUUUCGGAUCGUAAAACUCUGUUGUUAGGGAAGAACAAGUACCGUUCGAAUAGGGCGGCACCUUGACGGUACCUAACCAGAAAGCCACGGCUAACUACGUGCCAGCAGCCGCGGUAAUACGUAGGUGGCAAGCGUUGUCCGGAAUUAUUGGGCGUAAAGCGCGCGCAGGCGGUUUCUUAAGUCUGAUGUGAAAGCCCCCGGCUCAACCGGGGAGGGUCAUUGGAAACUGGGGAACUUGAGUGCAGAAGAGGAGAGUGGAAUUCCACGUGUAGCGGUGAAAUGCGUAGAGAUGUGGAGGAACACCAGUGGCGAAGGCGACUCUCUGGUCUGUAACUGACGCUGAGGCGCGAAAGCGUGGGGAGCGAACAGGAUUAGAUACCCUGGUAGUCCACGCCGUAAACGAUGAGUGCUAAGUGUUAGAGGGUUUCCGCCCUUUAGUGCUGCAGCAAACGCAUUAAGCACUCCGCCUGGGAGUACGGUCGCAAGACUGAAACUCAAAGGAAUUGACGGGGGCCCGCACAAGCGGUGGAGCAUGUGGUUUAAUUCGAAGCAACGCGAAGAACCUUACCAGGUCUUGACAUCCUCUGACAACCCUAGAGAUAGGGCUUCCCCUUCGGGGGCAGAGUGACAGGUGGUGCAUGGUUGUCGUCAGCUCGUGUCGUGAGAUGUUGGGUUAAGUCCCGCAACGAGCGCAACCCUUGAUCUUAGUUGCCAGCAUUCAGUUGGGCACUCUAAGGUGACUGCCGGUGACAAACCGGAGGAAGGUGGGAUGACGUCAAAUCAUCAUGCCCCUUAUGACCUGGGCUACACACG